AUGGGGAUCCGGCCUCCUCCUCGCCGCUGCCGCAGGCGUCGAACCACCCUGUCCCCAAUGUUUGCGAAGUGCUUCUUGCAGAGGAAGCUGCACCGGGUCUUGCCCCACCCCUCUCUCACUCUAUCCCGUCAGAUUUGGAGUCAAUCAGACCAUCUUCGCCGGGGCUGGCGGGCAGAGUUUUCUUCUGGCACUGACGUGGCCGUGUUGGUGAUUAUGUUUGUCUGGAUGUUGCUGCAGGGAGGAGGGGGAGAGAAAGGAGGUGGUGGAGGAGGAGGAGGGGCGGCCAGCGAUGUGGCCCAGCUACGCGCAGAUCGCGCUCCACUACAGCGUCCCCUACGCCGCCUCUGUCAUGGAGUUCGACCCCGUGCAGCGGCUCCUCGCCGUCGGGAUGCUGGAUGGGAGGAUCAAAAUCUUUGGGGGUGA
rnacentral:rRNA from 1 species